rnacentral:rRNA from 1 species
CAGCACCUCAAGUGGUCAGGAUGAUUAUUGGGCCUAAAGCAUCCGUAGCCGGCUCUGUAAGUUUUCGGUUAAAUCUGUACGCUCAACGUAUGGGCUGCCGGGAAUACUGCAGCGCUAGGGAGUGGGAGAGGUAGACGGUACUCGGUAGGAAGGGGUAAAAUCCUUUGAUCUAUUGAUGACCACCUGUGGCGAAGGCGGUCUACCAGAACACGUCCGACGGUGAGGGAUGAAAGCUGGGGGAGCAAACCGGAUUAGAGACCCGUGUAGUCC